GCAUGAGUUGGCUUGGUGUCAGGCUUGUCCCUGGACCUCUCAUGGUGUCCCAUCCAGAGCAGACUGUGGCUCUGAACCGUUGCCUGGCCUCUGCCUGUGGGCUACUGGCACUGAAGGGGGUUUCACAGAG